AGCUAACUUAGUUACUGAGAAAGUAAGAGGUGCCUUUCGCCAAGGAGUUCUUCUUAAUGACUACUCGUAGGUCUGGGGUCUGCACACAUUAUUUGAUCGACCCCAAACCCUGGCUUUCCUAGUUCUUCAAACUUCGUGAAGGGCUUUAUUGGGAAAAGCAUUCUAUUUGCCAUGCUGUCAGAGAUAAUGUCAGAGAUAAUAUCUCAUAUCAAGGAUUCUGUAACAUCUUGCUAUUUGAAACCAGAGCACUGCCCCGCUGGAUCUCAGCACUGCCCUUCUCAUAUGUUCAAGCAUUCUCUUCCUUAUAAAUACUGCC
rnacentral:sRNA from 1 species